rnacentral:lncRNA from 1 species
AAUCUUUCCUUGCAGCCCCAGGCCUCAUGGAGGACAGAUGGGGGCUAGGAGGGUCAAGGGUGAUGGAUCGGGGUGCCAGGGAAAGUGGGGUAACCAGCUGAGAAGGGGAUUGGCCGCACCAGUAUAGACCUUCAUGCAGUCUGUAGAUGAAUUUCUUUCAAGGUGUGGGGGGCAGGUAGGGUACAGGAUUACAGGGAGCCAAAGGAGAAAAAGCAAAUAUGAUCCGUGUCAUUUAUUUUUGCCCAAGUUCCAGCUGGGUAGCAGCCAAGAAGUUCACAGAGGGCUUCGGACUUGCUCCUUCACAUCAGAACCCGUUUAUCUCCUCGUGGUGUACAAAGGAAUGAGGAAGAGGAGGAGAACAAGGAAAGAGAGGAAGAAAGAGAAAGGGAGAGGAGGAAGAAGAAGGUGUUUCAGCUGUGAAUGUAGGAGAAGCGAAAUAAGAAUAACAAAAUUCGAGGCAGAAAGCCCGAGUUUACAUAUGAAGAAGAGAAAAAGGAGAGAUUCAUGUACCUGGGGCUUCUUUAUACCUGCCAUCUCAGUGCCAAGAAUUCGAAGCUCAGUUGCUCGGCCCCAAAGGACCAGACGGAGGGAAACCUGAGUUUUGAAGAUCAAGCCCAGCACCAUCUCUCUGGAG